CUCGUCAUUAAUACACUAUACAUAGACUGUGUUUUUCCAAUGGGUAAUUUUUAUAGAACCCCCUUGAUCUAGUGUUAUACAGUUCUGUUUGUCUUUAGUAAGGUUCUAAGGGAACUCUAGUAGAAGAAAGUUGUCAUAGAAUAAUAAGAACAAGAAGAAUGGCCACCCCAUUAUCAACCGUUACCAACAAUACCUACAUGUAUAAUAUACAUGGUGAUUGUCAAGCUGUACAGAUUGGAACAUCAAACACAAUAAAUGAAACUGGUAACCAGACCGACAGUGAUGAUUGCACAUCCGAUAUGGAAGAUGUGAGAUUCCAGAUCAAUCGGAUAACUGAAGAGAUGGCUGAAAAAUUUGAAAGAAAAGAUGAAGAAAUAGCUGAAUUAAAAGACAGGGUGGCUGACCUGGAAGCAUUUAAGAAGAAAGUAGAACAAUCGGAAGUCAAGACAAACACCAACACUAAUACUAGACGUUAUGUCAGGGAUACGAGUAAUGAUAUUACUCUAAAGUUAUAUAAAGGAUAUAAAGAUAUGGGUACUAUAACUGUCAGUAAGAAAGUCAGUUUUAAUGAUUUAAUGAAGUUGAUAGAAGAGAAGGAGAAUAAGAAGAUUAGUGUGAUUGUUAUAAUAGGAUAUAGAGAUGGUAGUUCGAGAGAUAUCUACGACAGUGAUAGCAACAAGAACGACUAUAGCCUGGAACAACUUGGUGUUGUAGACCAGGACGAGGUUUGGUACUGGUGAUAGUAAAAUAUUGAGAUUAUAUUGAUAUGAUGUAUUGAUGGGCUCCUUUAUAUUGAACAAUGAGGUGUUUGGGGGGGGGGGGGGGUAGAUAUUACUUAUAGUAAAAUAUAAUGGUCGAACCAGAACGAGGUUAGGUAUUAUUAUCUUAUUGUCUCUUGAUUAGGUUGUGAGGGUGGAAUAAAGUAAAAUGUUAAAAUGUUAGAGUGGUGUAAUGUGGUGGGUGGGAGUGGUGUGUGUUGGGUGGUGUGUGUAGGGUGUGGUUAGUGCCGUAGGUGUUGGUGUUGUGUGUGAUGUGAUGGGUGGUAUACGUGGUUGGGUGGGUGCUAUGUUAGUGAUGAGUAUUACCAACCACAUCAGCACCCUAGUAUUUAACCAAGUAUCUUAUACCCCCCCCCCACCACCCCCAUGAUUGAUAUAUUGAAUCUUACUCUAAGUAAUAUCUUACCUGUCCCACCUGUUCCACCUGAUUGAUAUAUUGAAUCUUACUCUAAGUAAUAUCUUACCUGUCCCACCUGAUUGAUAUAUUGAAUCUUACUCUAAGUAAUAUCUUACCUGUCUCACCUGUCCCACCUGAUUGAUAUAUUGAAUCUUACUCUAAGUAAUAUCUAACAUCCUAAUAUAAAACUAGCUUACUACUGUAAAUAAAGCUGUAAUUCAAUAGUCACGAUUAUCAGGUGAUAUGUAGUCGUGAUCAUGUGAUAACUAACUGACAUAUAUAUAAUAUAUAAUUAUAUUAGUGAAACAAUGUUUUAUGCUUUUUAUUCUAAUUUUGUUUCAAUAAAAUAUUUUAUAACUAAA